rnacentral:rRNA from 1 species
AGCGAACGCUGGCGGCAGGCCUAACACAUGCAAGUCGAGCGCCCCGCAAGGGGAGCGGCAGACGGGAGAGUAACACGUGGGAACGUACCCUUCAGUUCGGAACAACCCAGGGAAACUUGGGCUAAUACCGAAUACGUCCGUAAGGAGAAAGAUUUAUCGCUGAAGGAUCGGCCCGCGUCUGAUUAGCUAGUUGGUGGGGUAACGCUCACCAAGGCGACGAUCAGUAGCUGGUCUGAGAGAAUGAUCAGCCUCACUGGGACUGAGACACGGCCCAGACUCCUACGGGAGGCAGCAGUGGGGAAUCUUGCGCAAUGGGCGAAAGCCUGACGCAGCGACGCCGCGUGAGGGAUGACGGCCUU